rnacentral:rRNA from 1 species
UCCACGCCGUAAACGAUGUCAACUAGCCGUUGGAAUCCUUGAGAUUUUAGUGGCGCAGCUAACGCAUUAAGUUGACCGCCUGGGGAGUACGGCCGCAAGGUUAAAACUCAAAUGAAUUGACGGGGGCCCGCACAAGCGGUGGAGCAUGUGGUUUAAUUCGAAGCAACGCGAAGAACCUUACCAGGCCUUGACAUGCAGAGAACUUUCCAGAGAUGGAUUG